rnacentral:rRNA from 1 species
GACAGAGGGUGCAAACGUUGUUCGGAAUUACUGGGCGUAAAGGGCGCGUAGGCGGCAUUGCAAGUCAGAUGUGAAAGCCCCGGGCUUAACUCGGGAACUGCAUCUGAAACUGCUUUGCUUGAGUCCUGGAGGGGGUAGUGGAAUUCCCAGUGUAGCGGUGAAAUGCGUAGAUAUUGGGAGGAACACCUGCGGCGAAGGCGGCUACCUGGACAGUGACUGACGCUGAGGCGCGAAAGCUAGGGGAGCGAACGGG